AUGGACAAGAUGAAGGCAUGGACCUGGCGACUGGGUACUAGAAGCGAGCUACUGCACUUGGUCUACUCGAUAGCUGCCCUUGUGGCUGUACUUGGACGGCUGCAGAUAGUGCAACCGAAUGUCCCUGUGUGUUUUUGGCAGCCCAUUUUUACAGUUGGUGCUGAUGAACAUUCGUCCAGGUUCUUCUGUACUGUUGCUAUUUGCUGGAAAAAAUCAUUGAUUUUCAAUUGGCCGUUUCUUGUACUAGAACAUCAGGUGCUUGUGCUAAAUGUCCGUGAGACAAAACCUAUGAUACCAUAUGCGGAGUAG
rnacentral:rRNA from 1 species